rnacentral:rRNA from 1 species
GUGAGGAAUUUUCCGCAAUGGGCGAAAGCCUGACGGAGCAAUGCCGCGUGAAGGAUGAAGGCCUAUGGGUUGUAAACUUCUUUUCUCAGAAAAGAAUUAUGACGGUAUCUGAGGAAUAAGCAUCGGCUAACUCUGUGCCAGCAGCCGCGGUAAGACAGAGGAUGCAAGCGUUAUCCGGAAUGAUUGGGCGUAAAGCGUCUGUAGGUUGUUUAAAAAGUAUUCUGUCAAAGAUUAGGGCUUAACCCUAGAUAGGCAGAAUAAACUUUUAAGCUAGAGUUUGGUAGAGGCAGAGGGAAUUCCCGGGGGAGCGGUGAAAUGCGUAGAUAUCGGGAGGAACACCAAAGGCGAAGGCACUCUGCUGGGCCAAUACUAACACUGAGAGACGAAAGCGAGGGGAGCAAAUGGGAUUAGAAACCCUAGUAGUCC